AACGAACGCUGGCGGCAGGCUUAACACAUGCAAGUCGAACGCCCCUUUCGGGGGGAGUGGCAGACGGGUGAGUAACGCGUGGGAACGUGCCCUUCUGUUUGGAAUAACCCAGGGAAACUUUGGCUAAUACCGGAUAUGCCCUUCGGGGCAAAGAUUUAUCGCUGAAGGAUGGGCUCGCGUCUGAUUAGCUGGUGGGUGAGGUAAGGGCUCACCAAGGCGACGAUCAGUAGCUGGUCUGGGAGGAUGAUCAGCCACAUUGGGACUGCGACACGGCCGUAACUCCUGCGGGAGGCGGCAGUGGGGAAUAUUGGACAAUGGGCGCAAGCCUGAUGCAGCCAUGCCGCGUGAGUGAUGACGGCCUUAGGGUUGUAAAGCUCUUUCGCACGCGACGAUAAUGACGGUAGCGUGAGAAGAAGCCCCGGCUAACUUCGUGCCAGCCGCCGCCGUAAUAC
rnacentral:rRNA from 1 species